UACGGAGGUCUCAAGCGUUGUUCGGAUUCAUUGGGCGUAAAGGGUGCGUAGGUGGCGAGGUAAGUCUGGUGUGAAAUCUCGGGGCUCAACCCCGAAACUGCACUGGAUACUGCCUUGCUCGAGUACUGGAGAGGAGAUUGGAAUUUACGGUGUAGCAGUGAAAUGCGUAGAUAUCGUAAGGAAGACCAGUGGCGAAGGCGAAUCUCUGGACAGUUACUGACACUGAGGCACGAAGGCCAGGGGAGCAAACGGG
rnacentral:rRNA from 1 species